rnacentral:rRNA from 1 species
CCUACGGGUGGCAGCAGUGGGGAAUAUUGGGCAAUGGGGGGAACCCUGAUCCAGCAACGCCGCGUGAGUGAAGAAGUAUUUCGGUUUGUAAAGCUCUAUCAUCAGGGACGAAACAAAUGACGGUACCUGAUUAAGAAGCCCCGGCUAACUACGUGCCAGCAGCCGCGGUAAUACGUAGGGGGCAAGCGUUAUCCGGAUUUACUGGGUGUAAAGGGAGCGUAGGCGGCGAUGCAAGUCUGAAGUGAAAGGCGAGGGCCCAACCCCCGGACUGCGUUGGAAACUGUAUGGCUGGAGUGCAGGAGAGGCAAGUGGAAUUCCUAGUGUAGCGGUGAAAUGCGUAGAUAUUAGGAGGAACACCAGUGGCGAAGGCGGCUUACUGGACUGUAACUGACGUUGAGGCUCGAAAGCGUGGGGAGCAAACAGGAUUAGAUACCCCAGUAGUC